rnacentral:tRNA from 1 species
AGUUAAAUAGCUUAAUAAAAGCCUGUAUUUUGAAAAUACAAGAUGAACUUUUCUUUAACUU